ensembl:lincRNA
CUUCGUUGUAGAACGGUGAAAAACAGCAACAGCCACCACUCCAAGACGAGGGUUUCCUCCCCCCCCCCUCACCCCACCCCACCCCCACCGCAGCAUCGCGUGCGCUCGCACCCCAGCCAUCCACACCCCACGGCGGAUCUCCGGCUGGGCCUGCGGGACCAGGCGAGUCCCUCCUCUCUGUGGCUGGGGUCUUUCUCCCGCGACCCCAAAGCUGUCCAGGCCGGGCCCCCACCCGCCAGGGCUCCCACGCCCACCCACUGCUCCCGCACAGUGGCACCCAGCGAGCUGGCGCUCCCCGCCCACCGCGGCAUCAAGCCCCCUGCAGAGCCACUUCUGAGGCACCCACGCUGGGGAGAAAGUCCUUCGGCCCUCUGGAGCGAGUCUGGCCGGCGCCCGCAUCCUCCGCCACGCGCCCGUCGCGGCCCCGCCGCAGCCCCGGGGCGCGCCCCGCAGCCGCCCCACCGCGCCUGGCCUGGGCGAGGCCGAGAAGACCCUUCGCCCCGGGCAGCAGAGGGCUCACCGCAAGCAGGAGAACCCGGGUCCUGGGCAUGGCCGUGGAACAACCCGCUGAGGUCAAAGAGCCUGUCCAAGUCGGAGCCGACGUGCAGAGCCUGGGCUACUUGCCGGGGCGAUUCAGAGGAAGACCACACCUUCACUCAGCUCCUGGCCUGUGGCCCUGACAGGAAAUGCCCACAGAAGCCCCUGCAUUGUGUGUGAAGCAGCAAUGAUUCUAAGAGAAAGCAAGACGCAGUGCCAUGGGAUUCUUUUACCAUCUUUAUUUUACUUUAUAUUUUUGUUAGUAUAUUUUUAUUAAUGUAUAUUCGUCUUACAUACUGAUCACACUCAUCACAGGGAAUUUGUACCUGUACACAAGUGCCACAGGAUUCUGAAGAGGGAGAGCCCGUCGGGUUAUGUUUCUCAAAAGGAGAACAAAGCUACUUAUGACAAAUCAAAAAGCCCCAGCUGUAUUAAACGGUCACAAUUACUUCCUUUCCUUUGUUACUCAUUAUUUCCUGACCAUUUUUCUUUAGAAAAAAACCUUAUAAUUCUUAGUAGCCUGGUUAACACUGCUGAAAGUCAUUACUGUUUUGGAAAAAAAAGUAGGUACUGUAUCUCUUUAGAUAGCUUUGCAUGAGUGUUUCAGUAGGAGAGUUUGUGUGAUAACGUCAGUAAUAAGCCUGCGUCUGGAAGCAGUUCGUUGAGUGCACCACUGCUGGCUUCAGUAUCGCUCUGCAUCCUCCACCAAGCUCUGCGCCUCCUGCUUCUUCUGCCUGGCUUCCUCUGCGGUGACACAACUCACUAAGCAACCCUACCCCAACCUUCUUACCACCCACGUGGCCCUGGCCCUCUUCACGCUUCAGGCAUUUUCUUGUGGAAUUCUAUUCAGGCCCACAAGUCUGGGGCAGUCACCCUCCUUAAUGUUCUCACUCACCCUGUUUUGCAUCUGUCUGUGCACUUAUCACCCAGUGCUGCAGUCACUGAUUUGCUUGUCAACGCCUUCCCUUCCAGGAAAUGGUUGGUGCCGUGGAGAAGAGCCUGAUUGUGCCAGUCUUAUUCACAGCAUAACUGGACACAAAGGAAAGUGAGUGGGAAGGAGAGGCUGGCGUAUGGUGCCCUCGAUGUUAUCUUCUUCACUUUCCUGUAAAUCUAAAGCUAGUUCAAAAGUGAGUUCGUUUGAAUGUUAACGUAUCAUGAAAAGAGGGAAGAGAUGGAGAAGGAAGGGGAAAAGGGAGACAGAAGAAAGGCAGAAAGGACAGUGGGCAAAAUCAACAUCUUUUAAGCAUAAAUUACGAGCCAGCAACUUUCACAAAUAAUUCAUCUUUAUUUAACGCUAAUCAUUAUGACCAAGUGAACAAUUUUUUUAACUUCGCAAAUAAAGAAUUGUAGCCAAAAAAGCAGUGUAAGCAACAGUGACAAAAUUAGCUAGUUAAUAAAUAGCAGUGCCUGGAAUUGAAAUAUUCUUGCUCUCUCAGCUCUGCUUUCCUUACUUCCCAUCCCCUCCCACCCACACCUGAUUACCCAGCAAGUUCAACGAAAUAUGUAGAAGUGCUUUGUGUGGAUAAAUGUGCUUCAUGAUCAAAUGGGUUUAGAAAAUUCUGGGUUAACUUAAUUUAAACAAAUGUCUGAAGCCAUGAUUCUCAGAGCUUGGAUAUGUAUGUGGGGCAGGGCGGGGGCUGGGGAGAGGGACAGGGAACUCCACUUAGCCAUUAUCAGGUUGCAGUAAAUCUUGAGACCUUUGUUAGAAACACUGGGACCCAAACCCUCUCACUCUCCACUGAAUUUGAAGGAGAAAUAGAUAUCCGAGCUAUGGAACCGAUGUGGUUGGUUAUGAAAGGAGCUGGGAGAUUUGCCAGGGCCAGAAGCAAAGUCCAUUCACGCUGAGAGGAAGCUACCAGGAAAGGUGGAGCCUUGUGACGUCACCCGCGUCCUGGGUGGCUGUUACACUGAAACUGAAAGCUGGAAUGCCCAGUUCACUGAAUUCUCAGUUUCUGAUUAAUCCAAAUUCUUACAAUUAAAAGUAUCUCCGGUGGUGCAUCUCUAGAACUUAUGAUCAGGAUUAGAAAAAUCCUUUGAUAGCAAAAUUAAUUGCAACAAAUUAGCUAGUUUAGUUUUAAACUCAAAUGAGAACAAUUUCCUAUACAGUCUUAGCCAGCUUGAUAUCUAGGGACCUUAGUCCUACCAAACUUUUUUUCUGUCACUAGAGGGCAUCAGAGCCUGUAUCGAUGAAGAAAUUAAACUUGCUAUCAAUUAACAGCAAGAUAUUUAGGUUACUGGAAAAGGAAGAGAGCGAAAAAAGAGCUUUGAUUUAAUAAAUAAUCUGUGAUCAUGAGCAUGUGGACAUUUGCAUCUCCCAGAGAACAUGUGACUUAUGUUUAAGGGUUAAAGAAACGUGUGCAAAGCACUUAGCACACUCAGUAAGUACUACUUCCUAUUUUCACAUUGCUCUUCCUAAUUAGAUACCCUCACAGGAUGAGUUGAUAAUUUGGGGUCACAGUUGAUAUAGAAAGAAGGUGUUGAUAUCUAGGGACCUUAGUCCUACAGGUACAAGCGGCUCACAGCCUUUUUCAAGAGCUGCCUCCUGUGUGAGCAUGCUCCUGUGCCUUGCGGGCAGCGCAGCCCCAGAAAAGGGCCUUGGAUCCCGUCUGACCACGGCUGAAAGGAGUGGCCACAGCGAUGCAGAACAAGCUAUGGGAUCUUCCAAUUUUUGCCACCAGGAAAAUUGGUGGUACACUACCCUACCUACCUCUUAAAAAAAUGACGCUGAAGAAAACAAUGUAUAAAUUAGGAUGCACACCUGAUUUAGGUCAGCAGUGGGUCAAGUGGCAGAAAACAAAAGCUAUUCUACAGGCUCUGGUUUCAUAAACCAAGUGAGCACACCUCCCUCACUGUUUCUCCGUGUCAGGGUACCCUGAAAACGUAGAUAUUCCAUGACAGCAUACAUGAGAAACAUGCACACCCUACGUGUUCAGAAGAGAGAGGGACCAGUUUUCAACAAGUGCUGAUCUGGGGCAGAUGAAGUUUAGUUCAGAGUAGGCUUGGCUGAAGACAGUGUUUCAUAAACCUCAGUUAGCCUUUUGCUUUUCUGUAGUCCACUUGAAUAUAUCAAAUAUAUGUCUAAGUAACAUGCAUGUUUAAAGUCAACUUUGUUUUAUCAUCAUUUUAUUUUUAAAAUAAAACAUUACAUUAUAACCAUAAGUGGAGAAUCAACAUUCCUUGCCCCAAAUAGACAGUAUCUAUACUAAAAAUAAAU